rnacentral:rRNA from 1 species
UGGGGAAUAUUGCACAAUGGGCGAAAGCCUGAUGCAGCAACGCCGCGUGAGUGAUGAAGGCCUUCGGGUUGUAAAGCUCUGUCUUUUGGGACGAUAAUGACGGUACCAAAGGAGGAAGCCACGGCUAACUACGUGCCAGCAGCCGCGGUAAUACGUAGGUGGCAAGCGUUGUCCGGAUUUACUGGGCGUAAAGGAUGCGUAGGCGGAUUUUUAAGUGAGAUGUGAAAACCCUAAGCUUAACUUGGGGACUGCAUUUCAUACUGGAAAUCUAGAGUGCGGGAGAGGAGAGUGGAAUUCCUAGUGUAGCGGUGAAAUGCGUAGAGAUUAGGAAGAACACCAGUGGCGAAGGCGAUUCUCUGGACCGUAACUGACGCUGAGGCAUGAAAGCGUGGGUAGCAAACAGGAUUAGAUACCCUGGUAGUCCACGCCGUAAACGAUGAGUACUAGGUGUAGGAGGUAUCGACCCCUUCUGUGCCGCAGUUAACACAAUAAGUACUCCGCCUGGGAAGUACGAUCGCAAGAUUAAAACUCAAAUGAAUUGAC